UGCGCUCUGGUGUUCAGAGUUAUUUAAAGUAAGAGUAAAAGAGUACGAGAAGUAUUGUCAGAUAAUUUCCCUUGCGGGUAUUUGUCAUUCGUUUUUCCCAUUUACGGCUUGAUUAAAUAAACGGAAACACAAAGCGAGAUCGCCGAAAGGCAAAUUUUAAUCUUAAAAGUAAGGGACAUAACAUGUCUAACACAAAUACUGGCACAGUAAAAUGGUUUAACGAAGAGAAAGGCUACGGCUUCAUCGCUCAAGAGAACGGUCCAGACGUAUUCGUUCACUUCCGCGCUAUCUCUGGCGAAGGUUUCAAAACUCUAAAAGAAGGCCAAGCGGUUUCUUUUGGUGUUGAGCAAGGCCAAAAAGGUCCUCAAGCUGUUAACGUUAUUCCUCAAUAAUAACGACAGUUAAAGAAUUUCUAAAAGGCUUCGAGUAAUCGAAGCCUUUUUUG
rfam:Vibrio shilonii AK1 1103207002036, whole genome shotgun sequence.